rnacentral:rRNA from 1 species
UACGAAGGGGGCUAGCGUUGUUCGGAAUUACUGGGCGGAAAGCGCGCGCAGGCGGUCCUUUAAGUCAGGGGUGAAAGCCCAGAGCUCAACUCUGGAACUGCCUUUGAAACUAGAGGACUUGGGUACGGGAGAGGUGAGUGGAAUUCCGAGUGUAGAGGUGAAAUUCGUAGAUAUUCGGAAGAACACCAGUGGCGAAGGCGGCUCACUGGCCCGUUACCGACGCUCAGGCGCGACAGCGUGGGGAGCAAACAGG